rnacentral:other from 1 species
GACGUGCUGCGCGGUACGUCAGGUCGUACCACUCCCGGGGGCGUUAAUUGAGAAAGACGGGAGCUGUCCCUGCCAGGGCCGUGGUCCUGGUAAAACGGCACCCACUUGGUUCGUCGGCCCACGGAGGAGCUGACCGGCCAACGGCCGACGCGGCACGUCC